rnacentral:rRNA from 1 species
AUGCGGCAGCUAUACAUGCAAGUCGAGCGAAUGGAUUGAGAGCUUGCUCUUAUGAAGUUAGCGGCGGACGGGUGAGUAACACGUGGGUAACCUGCCCAUAAGACUGGGAUAACUCCGGGAAACCGGGGCUAAUACCGGAUAACAUUUUGAACUGCAUGGUUCGAAAUUGAAAGGCGGCUUCGGCUGUCACUUAUGGAUGGACCCGCGUCGCAUUAGCUAGUUGGUGAGGUAACGGCUCACCAAGGCAACGAUGCGUAGCCGACCUGAGAGGGUGAUCGGCCACACUGGGACUGAGACACGGCCCAGACUCCUACGGGAGGCAGCAGUAGGGAAUCUUCCGCAAUGGACGAAAGUCUGACGGAGCAACGCCGCGUGAGUGAUGAAGGCUUUCGGGUCGUAAAACUCUGUUGUUAGGGAAGAACAAGUGCUAGUUGAAUAAGCUGGCACCUUGACGGUACCUAACCAGAAAGCCACGGCUAACUACGUGCCAGCAGCCGCGGUAAUACGUAGGUGGCAAGCGUUAUCCGGAAUUAUUGGGCGUAAAGCGCGCGCAGGUGGUUUCUUAAGUCUGAUGUGAAAGCCCACGGCUCAACCGUGGAG